rnacentral:rRNA from 1 species
UACGUAGGGGGGCUAGCGUUGUCCGGAAUCAUUGGGCGUAAAGAGCGCGUAGGCGGCCCGGUAAGUCCGCUGUAAAAGUCAAAGGCUCAACCUUUGAAUGUCAGUGGAUACUGCCGGGCUAGAGUCCGGAAGAGGCGAGUGGAAUUCCAGGUGUAGCGGUGAAAUGCGCAGAUAUCGGGAGGAACACCAAUGGCGAAGGCAGCUCGCUGGGACGGUACUGACGCUGAGGCGCGAAAGCGUGGGGAGCAAACAGG